UACGAAGGGGGCUAGCGUUGCUCGGAAUCACUGGGCGUAAAGGGUGCGUAGGCGGGUCUUUAAGUCAGGGGUGAAAUCCUGGAGCUCAACUCCAGAACUGCCUUUGAUACUGAAGAUCUUGAGUUCGGGAGAGGUGAGUGGAACUGCGAGUGUAGAGGUGAAAUUCGUAGAUAUUCGCAAGAACACCAGUGGCGAAGGCGGCUCACUGGCCCGGUACUGACGCUGAGGCACGAAAGCGUGGGAGCAAACAGGG
rnacentral:rRNA from 1 species